UACGAAGGGGGCUAGCGUUGUUCGGAAUUACUGGGCGUAAAGGGCGCGUAGGCGGUCCUGGUCGUCGGAUGUGAAAGGCCUGGGCUCAACCUGGGAAUGGCAUCCGAUACGGCGGGACUGGAGUGUGGGAGAGGUUGGUGGAAUUCCCAGUGUAGAGGUGAAAUUCGUAGAUAUCGGGAGGAACACCAGUGGCGAAGGCGGACCACUGGAGCGGAUACUGACGCUGAGAGCGAAAGCGUGGGGAGCAAACAGG
rnacentral:rRNA from 1 species